GAAAUGCGAUAAGUAAUGUGAAUUGCAGAAUUCAGUGAAUCAUCGAAUCUUUGAACGCACCUUGCGCUCCUUGGUAUUCCGAGGAGCAUGCCUGUUUGAGUGUCAUGAAAUUCUCAACCUUUCUGGCUUUGGCUGGUCAGGCUUGGAUUGUGGGAGCUGCUGGCUUUUCAGCAAAGUCAGCUCUUCUUAAAUACAUUAGCAAAAUCUUUGCUAGGCCAUCUUUGGUGUGAUAAUUAUCUAUGCCACUGAUGCUUAGCUUCCUUGCAAGAGGGUGGUUUAGCUUCUAACUGUCCAUUUGGGACAACUUUUUGACAAUUUGACCUCAAAUCAGGUAGGACUACCCGCUGAACUUAA
rnacentral:misc_RNA from 1 species